UACUAUUCCUGGAAUAUUAUGAAAUAAUAAAUCUGAAAACUAAAGAGUCGUUAACCAUUUUCCAUGUAAAUGUUCCAGGUAAAAAAUGAUAUACAUACACAUAUAGGAAGGCAAAAUGAUACAAAAAGCCUAAAGCAAACCUUGAUCUUUAUAUUUCUCAUACAAUUUACUCAGCUCAGUGUAGUUGGAAUUGGUCAAGCCACUGCAUCAAUUUUAAGCAGCAAAUUAAAAACUUUGUGUAGGCACUAGCAGAUAA